rnacentral:rRNA from 1 species
AUUGAACGCUGGCGGCAUGCCUUACACAUGCAAGUCGAACGGCAGCACGGGUGCUUGCACCUGGUGGCGAGUGGCGAACGGGUGAGUAAUACAUCGGAACGUACCUUAUCGUGGGGGAUAACGCAGCGAAAGCUGUGCUAAUACCGCAUACGCCCUGAGGGGGAAAGCGGGGGAUCGCAAGACCUCGCGCGAUUAGAGCGGCCGAUGCCUGAUUAGCUUGUUGGUGGGGUAAAAGCCCACCAAGGCGACGAUCAGUAGCUGGUCUGAGAGGACGAUCAGCCACACUAGGACUGGGACACGGCCCAGACUCCUACGGGAGGCAGCAGUGGGGAAUUUUGGACAAUGGGGGCAACCCUGAUCCAGCAAUGCCGCGUGAGUGAAGAAGGCCUUCGGGUUGUAAAGCUCUUUUGUCAGGGAAGAAACACCGGCUCUAACACAGUCCGGGAAUGACGGUACCUGAAGAAUAAGCACCGGCUAACUACGUGCCAGCAGCCGCGGUAA